AGAGUUUGAUCCUGGCUCAGGACGAACGCUGGCGGUAUGCCUAACACAUGCAAGUCGAACGAGAUUAUUUAUUUGUUUACAAAGAAAUGAUUGCAGUGGCGGACGGGUGAGGAACACGUAAGAACUUACCUUUUGGCGGGGGAUAACAACGGGAAACUGUUGCUAAUACCCCAUAACGCUGAGGAGCGAAAGGGAAACUGCCAAAAGAGAGGCUUGCGUCUGAUUAGCUAGUUGGAGGAGGUAAAUGCUCCCCAAGGCGACGAUCAGUAGCUGGUCUGAGAGGAUGAUCAGCCACACUGGGACUGAGACACAGCCCAGACUCCUACGGGAGGCAGCAGUGGGGAAUUUUCCACAAUGGGCGAAAGCCUGAUGGAGCAAUACCGCGUGAAGGAUGAAGGAUCGUGGUCCGUAAACUUCUUUUCUUAACGAAGAAAUUCUGACGGUAGUUAAGGAAUAAGCACCGGCUAACUCCGUGCCAGCAGCCGCGGUAAUACGGGGGGUGCAAGCGUUGUCCGGAAUGAUUGGGCGUAAAGCAUCUGUAGGUGGUUCUUAAAGUCGACUGUUAAAGCCCAGGGCUCAACUUUGGAUAAGCGGUCGAGUACUUAAGGACUUGAGUAUGGUAGGGGUAGAGGGAAUUCCUAGUGGAGCGGUGAAAUGCACAGAGAUUAGGAAGAACACCAAAGGCGAAGGCACUCUACUGGGCCAUGACUGACACUGAGAGAUGAAAGUCGGGGGAGCGAAAAGGAUUAGAUACCCUUGUAGUCCCGACCGUAAACGAUGGAUACUAAGUGCUGACAACAUCAGUGCUGUAGCUAACGCGUUAAGUAUCCCGCCUGGGGAGUAUGCUCGCAAGAGUGAAACUCAAAGGAAUUGACGGGAACUGGCACAAGCGGUGGAUUAUGCGGUUUAAUUCGAUGAUACACGAAGAACCUUACCAGGGAUUGACAUGUUCAGAACUUUUGAGAGAUUGAAAGGUGCCCUUAUUUUUGAUUUGGGAGCUGAAACACAGGUGGUGCAUGGCUGUCGUCAGCUCGUGCCGUGAGGUGUCGAGUUAAGUCUUUGAACGAGCGCAACCCUUGUCUUUUGUUACCACUUUUAUGCGCUCGCGCAAGAAAAGGACUCAAAAGAGACUGCCGGUGUAAACCGGAGGAAGGAGAGGAUGACGUCAAGUCAGCAUGCCCCUUACAUCCUGGGCUACACGCGUAAUACAAUGGCAAAGACAAUAGGACGCGAACCCGUGAGGGGGAGCAAAUCUAGUAAACUUUGUCUCAGUUCGGAUUGAAGUCUGCAACUCGACUUCAUGAAGCCGGAAUCGCUAGUAAUCGCCGGUCAGCUAUACGGCGGUGAAUACGUUCCCCAGUUUUGUACACACCGCCCGUCACAUGCUGGGAGCCAUCUUGUCCCGAAGACAGGUUGCCAACCACACCCCUCCGGGGAUGGAAGCGAAUGUCAACGGUUGGGUUGGUGACUAAUAUGAAGUCGUAACAAGGUAUCCGUACUGGAAGGUGUGGAUG
rnacentral:rRNA from 1 species